UGCUCUGUCGCCCAGGCUGGAGUGCAGUGGCGUGAUGUCGGCUCACUGCAAGCUCCGCCUCCCGGGUUCACGCCAUUCUCCUGCUUCAGCCUCCUGAGUAGCUGGGGCUACAGGCGCCCGCCACCACGCCCGGCUAAUUUGUUUGAAUUUCUCAUUGUGAAGCAACUACAAUAUCUACUUUUUAAAAAUAUUAUUUAUUUAUUUAUUUUUUUGAGACGGAGUCUCACUCUGUCGCCCAGGCUGGAGUGCAGUGGCGCAGUCUCGGCUCACUGCAAGCUCCACCUCCUGGGUUCACGCCAUUCUCCUGCCUCAGCCUCCAAAGUAAUGAGGGCUGGAUGGAUAUGAUCAGAUGAGUGCCCAAAGAAGAGACACCAGAGAGCUAGCUUCUUCUUUCUCUUUCCACCUUUACACACUGAGAAAAGGCCAAGUGAGCACACACCAAGAAGGCAGCCAUCUGCAAACCCAAGGAGAGAGUCCUCACUAGACACCCUGCUGGUACCUUGAUCUUGGACUUCUAGCCUCCAGAAUUGCAGAGACAGAAGCCUUGGUGUGGG
rnacentral:lncRNA from 1 species